GCCCGUUUAGCUCAGUCUGGUUAGAGCGCCGCUCUGAUAAAGCGGAGGCCCCUGGUUCAAAUCCAGGAUCGGGCA
rnacentral:tRNA from 1 species